CCCUUAGACGUUCUGGGCCGCACGCGCGCUACACUGACGAAGUCAACGAGCUACUCUUCACCGAAAGGUGUGGGUAAUCUUUUGAAACUUCGUCGUGCUGGGGAUAGAUCCUUGCAAUUUUUGAUCUUAAACGAGGAAUUCCUAGUAAGCGCAAGUCAUCAACUUGCGUUGAUUACGUCCCUGCCCUUUGUACACACCGCCCGUCGCUACUAUCGAUUGAGCGGUUCAGUGAGGGCCUCGGAUUGGUCUCGGUCUGGCGUGCAAGCGCCGGCACCGAUGGUCGAGAAGAAGCUCGAACUCGAUCGCUUGGAGAAAGUAAAAGUCGUAACA
rnacentral:rRNA from 1 species